CAGGACGAACGCUGGCGGCGUGCUUAACACAUGCAAGCCGAGCGAUGAAGCACCUUCGGGUGUGAAUUAGCGGCGAACGGGUGAGGAACACGUGAAGAAUCUGCCUUCAACUCUGGGAUAACUCCGGGAAACCGGGGCUAAUACCGGAUAUGAGCCUUGAUCGCAUGAUCGGGGCUGGAAAGUUUUUCGGUUGAAGAUGACUUCGCGGCCUAUCAGCUUGUUGGUGAGGUAAUGGCUCACCAAGGCGACGACGGGUAGCCGGCCUGAGAGGGCGACCGGCCACACUGGGACUGAGACACGGCCCAGACUCCUACGGGAGGCAGCAGUGGGGAAUAUUGGGCAAUGGAGGAAACUCUGACCCAGCGACGCCGCGUGAGGGAUGAAGGCCUUCGGGUUGUAAACCUCUUUCAGUAGGGAAGAAGCGAAAGUGACGGUACCUACAGAAGAAGCACCGGCUAACUAUGUGCCAGCAGCCGCGGUAAUACAUAGGGUGCAAGCGUUGUCCGGAAUUAUUGGGCGUAAAGAGCUCGUAGGUGGUUCGAUACGUCGGAUGUGAAAAUCAGGGGCUCAACCCCUGACCUGCAUCCGAUACGGUCGAGCUAGAGUUUGGUAGGGGAGACUGGAAUUCCUGGUGUAGCGGUGGAAUGCGCAGAUAUCANGAGGAACACCGAUGGCGANGNAGGUCUCUGGGCCNAUACUGACACUGAGGAGCGAAAGCGUGGGGAGCGAACAGGAUUAGAUACCCUGGUAGUCCACGCCGU
rnacentral:rRNA from 1 species